GCCUGGUAGGGCGCAAGCCUGGAAGAAUGUAAGCACUGAAAGCUUGUGACCUGUGAAGGUCUCGAGGGUUCAAAUCCCUCUCCCGGCG
rnacentral:tRNA from 1 species